CAGAUUAUUGCUCGACUACGCGGAAAAUUUGGAGAUGUUAGGAACAUGCAACGAAAUUACAAAUGGCGCCACAAAAUUCAAAAGGACGCCAUGAUGACUAAUGGUUUCUCAUUCCUUCCUUUUCAUCCUGUUUCCUGGAAAGGACUUAGUGAUGCUUAAAAAACCAAGAAUAUUUCUUCCAGUCUUUACUUUUUUUCAUGGGAUUCAACGAUUCCUGUCUAAUGAUAGGCUUCACGAUGACGUUCCAUAGGGCACAAUACAUCGAUGACAACGUUCUUCGCAACUAAUCGUGAGUCGCAUGCAUUUUUGUUCCUCUGGUCACUCAAUCAUGUUGUAGAAUGAAAGGUUUGAAGCAACACGGGUGACUGGUUGUAUUACGUUGAAUUUUUGACGAGCAUAGUGACCGCGGGUAUUUAUUAUACUCGCGAGUAGUAACAUUUUCUUGUAUGUGUUUUAUUUAUCAGUUCAGGAUAGGUUUUCUUGUACACCGCGUUUUCGAAUGUUGAUAAUAACACAUGAAGAAUGAAUAG